AUUGAACGCUGGCGGCAGGCCUAACACAUGCAAGUCGAGCGGAUGAGAGGAGCUUGCUUCUCGAUUCAGCGGCGGACGGGUGAGUAAUGCCUAGGAAUCUGCCUGGUAGUGGGGGACAACGUUUCGAAAGGAACGCUAAUACCGCAUACGUACUACGGGAGAAAGCAGGGGACCUUCGGGCCUUGCGCUAUCAGAUGAGCCCAGGUCGGAUUAGCUAGUUUGUGAGGUAAUGGCUCACCAAGGCGACGAUCCGUAACUGGUCUGAGAGGAUGAUCAGUCACACUGGAACUGAGACACGGUCCAGACUCCUACGGGAGGCAGCAGUGGGGAAUAUUGGACAAUGGGCGAAAGCCUGAUCCAGCCAUGCCGCGUGUGUGAAGAAGGUCUUCGGAUUGUAAAGCACUUUAAGUUGGGAGGAAGGGUUGUAGAUUAAUACUCUGCAAUUUUGACGUUACCGACAGAAUAAGCACCGGCUAACUCUGUGCCAGCCGCCGCCGUAAGAC
rnacentral:rRNA from 1 species